UGCUUUCUGUAUCAAAGACCAUCCAAAAGAAAAUUAUAAUUUUCUUUUAAUAAACAAGUGGUUAAUUUUCUUUAGGUCCUGACUGCCAAUGAACCAGGCAAUGAUUCACAGGUGGAGAGAUAGUCUGGGCAGCACCAAGCCGACAACUAUUAUGAUUAUGAGUAGGGAUGACUAUCGAGAACAGAAAUAACUGCAUAUCAUCCAAACCAUCUCCAAAUGAAUGGCUGCAAGGAUCCAGGAUCAAGAGAUAAUCCAUCAUGAAAACUGUUUCAUAGGAAUCAGCGAAUCCUGGGCCUGCCUGACCAUUCUGUUGCCCUAGACGUGAAGACACGCUGGAACUGCAUUUCUCAUGGUUGGAAGAGUUGCGCAUCGAUAUCCAGACAUACAAGUGUUACGAAUCUGGUCGGUGACCUGCGGUCCGCUCACCAGCAGAUGUCGCUUUCGCUCCAUUAUUUCACACAGACUGUUGUAUUACACCCCGGACUCCAUCUCCCGUCAUGCAGCGCGAUCAGGCGCGCUAUAAAGCCCCGGUCUUACCCCAUGCAAGUCAUGGAGUAUUGUUGUUGUCAUUAUUAUUGUUAGCGUUUCUUAGUUCCCUUGUUCCUAGUUCCCUGUGUAUAGCUUUCUCGGCUGGCCUCCUUGUCUCGACUGUCUCGCCGCCUGCGUACUGGACUCUUGCUCGUUUUUUUGGAUUAUUUUCUACGUCUUGCCUGUUGAAUACCUGUUUGCUCCUGUUUUGACCCUGCCUGUACGACUAUGUCUUUGUCUGGUCCUAUCAAUAAAAGCUCGCAGAUGGAUCCGCUGGCCUCUCGCCUCUCACUCCCCGUUACAACAAGAAGCCUUCCUGGACCCACACGACAAAAUGCUCAGGAGGAGAGGCAGGUAAUCCACAGGGUUGGAUUUUACAACUGACUCAUAAGUAGAUAGA